rnacentral:rRNA from 1 species
CCUACGGGAGGCAGCAGUGGGGAAUAUUGCACAAUGGGGGAAACCCUGAUGCAGCGACGCCGCGUGAGUGAAGAAGUAAUUCUUUAUGUAAAGCUCUAUCAGCAGGGAAGAAAAUGACGGUACCUGAGUAAGAAGCCGCGGCUAACUACGUGCCAGCAGCCGUGGCAAUAUGUAGGGGGCAAGCGUUAUCCGGAUUUUAUGGGUGUAAAGGGAGCGUAGAGGGGAAUGCAAGUCUGGAGUGAAAGGCGGGGGCUCAACCCCCGGACUGCUCUGGAAACUGUACGGCUGGAGUGCAGGAGAGGUAAGUGGAAUUCGUGGUGUAGCGGUGAAAUGCGUAGAUAUUAGGAGGAACGCCGGUGGCGAAGGCGGCUUACUGGACUGUAACUGACGUUGAGGCUCGAAAGCGUGGGGAGCAAACAGGAUUAGAUACCCUAGUAGUC